GAUGAACGCUGGCGGCGUGCCUAAUACAUGCAAGUCGAGCGAUCAGAUGAGGAGCUUGCUCCUCUGACGUUAGCGGCGGACGGGUGAGUAACACGUGGAUAACCUACCUAUAAGACUGGGAUAACUUCGGGAAACCGGAGCUAAUACCGGAUAAUAUAUUGAACCGCAUGGUUCAAUAGUGAAAGACGGUUUUGCUGUCACUUAUAGAUGGAUCCGCGCCGCAUUAGCUAGUUGGUAAGGUAACGGCUUACCAAGGCAACGAUGCGUAGCCGACCUGAGAGGGUGAUCGGCCGCACUGGAACUGAGACACGGUCCAGACUCCUACGGGAGGCAGCAGUAGGGAAUCUUCCGCAAUGGGCGAAAGCUUGACGGAGCAACGCCGCGUGAGUGAUGACGGUCUUCGGAUCGUAAAACUCUGUUAUUAGGGAAGAACAAAUGUGUAAGUAACUAUGCACGUCUUGACGGUACCUAAUCAGAAAGCCACGGCUAACUACGUG
rnacentral:rRNA from 1 species